UACGGAGGAUGCAAGCGUUAUCCGGAUUUAUUGGGUUUAAAGGGUGCGCAGGUGGUUUAAUAAGUCAGUGGUGAAAGUCUGCCGCUUAACGGUAGGAUUGCCAUUGAUACUGUUGGACUUGAAUAUGGAUGAGGUAGGCGGAAUGUGUAGUGUGGCGGUGAAAUGCUUAGAUAUUACACAGAACACCGAUUGCGAAGGCAGCUUACUAAUCCAUGAUUGACGCUGAGGCACGAAAGCGUGGGGAUCAAACUGGAUUA
rnacentral:rRNA from 1 species